CUGGCUGAAGUCGGACGUUUAACCGACUGCACCACCCAGGCGCCCCUAGUCUCCCUACCUCUUAUCCGGGACUGUGCAGUAUGGAGUCAGAAACGCCAUGGGAAGAAGUCGUUGGGCUGCCUUCUCCAGGAGCUUUCCCUGGGCAGUCGUCUCUGCCCAUGUUACGGAAGACGGCAAAAAUCCGAGCCAUCAUGCAUCUGGCCAAUUAUGCAAUGCUCCGUCGCGAGGGGAAAUUCCUUCCUCACCCCAGCUGGUGAACAGUUAUGCCCUGGAGCCCAGGACGGCCAUGCCUUGUAACUUUUUAACCUAGUUAGCGUAACUGCCAAUAUUAUUCCUAUUCAUAUAAAUGUCUAAUCCUUUCUUGAAUCUUGCUAGACUAUUUGCCUCAAUAAUACCCUGCGGCAGUGAAUUCCACAGGUAGAUUAUACGCUGUUUUAAGAAGUAUUUCCUUUUUUUUUCAUUUUAAAUUUGUUACGUUUUAACGUCACAGGAUGGCCUUGUUCUUGCAUGAAGGGGCCCGGGGUCCAGGCGUUUCAAGUUCUGCUUUAAUUUUUCCAAGCGCUUCGCCAUCAUUAGAACUCUGUCUUCGUCAGGUAUUUUCGGUUUUGGUGUAUCCGAUCUUGAUUAAAUGAGAUGAUUGAUUGAAUAGUCUCAUAUGGCUUUGGCACAUAGUAGGCACCGGAAAAAAGCUCUCCUUGGUACUCAUUCCACUUAUUGGACAGCUUUUUUUUUUUUUUUUGAGUACCUACUGCGUGCAGGAAUCAUUGUAAGUAUUGGAGAGACAGCGUUGAAUGAGACAGGGUCCUUGUUGGAAGGACCCAAUUUCCUAGAGAAGAUGAGCAGCGACAUAGUGAACAAAGAUGAACGACAGGGUCUCCAGUCGUCAUAAGUACUACGGGAAAAUUAGAGAAGAGUGGUUGGCAGAGGAUGGAAGGGGCCCCAUAAGAUUGCACCAUCAGGGAGUAACUCACUGAAAAGGGGCCGGUUGAGCUGGCCCUCAAGGAAGCAUCUGUGUGAAAUCUCCAUGAAGGUGAACCCACGCUCCCAGACACUGCCUGGCAGGAGCUCCUGAUCAGCUGCAGCCUGCACACCCCUGUCCUGGCUGGGGAAAGCGAGUCAGGACUCCCCCGCAGCAGGUGGGCGGGACAGCGACCGGAAGAUCGGAGGGUGGCCCGAACAACGGUGCUUUCCAGAAGAGGCUAGACAAUAUCAUCACUGGGAGAGUGCCGUCUGUCUGGCGUGUCGCAGGGCCAUGGCCCCUGGUGUGCCCAACGCCCAGCAUCUCCGUCAGAUACAGUUUUGACAUCUUCUCGGUGAGGCCUCGUCCACACCCGCGGACUUUCAGGCGGGAUAUGUUGCUCAGCUGCCCACCUUUGUCUGGGUCUAUAUUAAUCUGGAGAAAUGCAUUGACCAUCAGUGUUAAGGAACAUCUCUCACUGGUGACUAAGAAAAUAGUCAAUCCUAUAGCAAGUACCAACUGGAGACACAAAGGUGGCGGCAUUGACUCUGCUCUCAAGGAACUCCCGGAAGGAGACAGAAGAAGAAUCAACACGGAGAGUUGUACACCACGGAGCAAAUGAAACAGCCCCCCAUUACUGAGCGCUAACAGAACAGUUCCGACGUUCGAAACAUUAAUACAAAAAGAAGUCCGGGUCAAGCGAAAAACUCUAGGUUAAACUGAGUCAAACGGGAUGGUUUGCAGCAGAGGCCUCUAACACGUUACCACGCACUGUAAUUCUCCAGGACAGCGUUGCCCAAUGGAUUUGAUCGACAAAACCCUUUCGCGAAGGAUAAUCUUACAGAAUUAGCGUUUCAAGGAGUAAACUUUCGGAAGCACGGAUUCAAAUGUUUUAAGAUGGCAAACACCUGUGGGCACAAGAACACUUUACCCCAAACACCAUCAGGUUCUUAAGUGAAAAAAAAAUCCUGAGGGAGCAGACGACGAUUUUGCAGCAAUCACUAUCUGCUAAACUAUAUUAAAGUUGCAUCAGCUCUACUUGUCCUCAAAGAUUGGAAGUCAUAUAAAGGGUGAGUCUGUCUAGCUGAAGACAUCUACUAAAGAGAGUCAGCUAAUUACAUGCAAGGAUUAACUUCUCAAGGACCCAGAAAAAGGGCGUUGUUUUAUCCAGUUCAGGGAAGACACGGCUUCUUCAUUAACUGCUAAGGUGACGGUGAUGCUGCGGAAAGAAGUCAUACAGGUUUACAGGUACAAAUUCUAAUGAUCUCUUGCCUCAAAAACCAAGAACAAACCAACAGGCAUAUCAGGCAAAACUGUCUUGGGUAUUUCGAUUAUUUCCUCUUGCUCAGAGCGCCUGCCAGAAGCUGGUAGAAAGACUGAAUUCAGACGUUUUCUCCUCUGUUUGGGUUGCCCCGUUACUGGGUGACUUCUGAUGUUGCAACACGAGUGUUUUUCAUUCCAUACCAUCGAUUGCUGAUUAAUUCCGCACCCAGAGUCUCCGAGUAGUUUAUCGAGAGCAAUCACUUCUGCAUCCUUCAUUGUGCAUCACAAGGUGCAUGCCGAAUUGUAGACUUCCGUAUUAACACCCAUGAUUAAGGACAGCAAUCGUUAAAUGAAGAUGAGUCACAAUAUUUAGGUUUUAUGAAUUCUUGAUGUGUUUUGAAAGACAGGGAGCGGGUUCUCCUAAUGCUUGAGCAAUGGCUUAGUAGUAAAUUAGGCAUCCUUAGAAGCUAUACGAAGAUAAUGUUGCAGAAGUUUUUGGUAAUAUGCGGAAGCGGUAUGUUAGCGUCGGUGGACAGCCCGUCCCAGAGAAAGGAGCCACAGGGACAGGCUACCCCCAUUCAGCUUCACACGGUCAACGAGCAUUUUAGGUAACUUACUGCCAAGAG